rnacentral:lncRNA from 1 species
CUUUAAGUAAUCCAGUUCACAAAUUAGGUCAGAGGUCUUUGGAAGAUAUAAAAUUAAGAAUGCUUCUGCAUCAAUGUGAGUGAAUCAAUCAUCCUUAAAGGUGUACAGCUCUUUGAGGGAAAACCAUUCUCAGAAUUGGCAAUUUAACAUUGGCAUUAAUUGGUCUUCUUUCUGUGAGGCACAGUGCUUUAACAGACUUAUCUAGGAACUAAAGUAAUCUGCCCCCAGCCCUGUAUCUAUCUGGAAAUGAGAAGCUUCUUUCAAAAAAAUUGCUUGCCUUUUCUCUAGCAACACAAAUCUCCUCUUAUCUGUAUCCAUGAAAAUAUGCCAGUUAAUUCACAAAAGAGAAAGAAAAUAUACUUUCUUGAGAGAGCAUCAAUAUUAGAGAAACACAUUCAAGGGAUGAUUUAGGCUAUUUUUCUGAAUAAUUUAAUCAUCUGGCCAUAUGAGGCCUGUUUCAAAAUAAUAACCUCUUCACAAAUAAAGAGGUCCUGAAAUAAUCUAUGUGUAUCAUUCAUUCCACUCAAUUCUAUAAUUUUGUGGAUUUUGUGUAUAGUUCUAUGAUGAGGAAUCUGAUAAAUAAUACAAUGCUAGCAUGUUAGAGCUGGAAGAGACAUUAGAACUUAGAAUUUCAGAGCAUAGAAUGUUAGGGCGCUAGGGAUCUUCAAAUAGAAUGUUGGAGCUGAGGGAAAUCUUACACUUAGACUGCCAUAGCUGGAAUGGACCUUCAAAUAUAUAUUGUUGGAAUUGAAAAAGUUUCUUAAACAGUGUACUACUGUUAGUGCCAAAUGGGACUUAGAAAAUAAGACUUUAAGAUGGAGAUCAUAGAUAGAAUUAGAAGGAACUUUGAAAGAUACAAUGUGAAAACUGGAAGGGAUCUUAGAGAUGAGGUGGUACAGAAGAAAAAAAGUUUGGUUCUGAAAUCAGAGAGUAUGGGUUUCAAUUUCAUUUCUGAAACCUACUUUCUGACCUCAGUCUUUUGUAGGAUUCUUCAAACUUUGAGUAACUUGGGAAUCUUUUGGCUUCCAGUUUCAAGAGAGAAGGUAGAAGAAUGUAACCACUUCAGGAUACUGAAGAAAAAGACUGAGAAGGAGAACAGAGGGGCCUCCAGUUCCAAUUACUUGCUUCCUGUCCUAGCAGUAAAGAUCUCCUUAGAAAAGGAUGAUUGGAGAAGAGCCCAGAGAUGCCUAUUUUUCCUUCCUUCAAAACAUACAACAACAGUUCUUACUAUAGAAGUAGGAAUUCAGCUCAAGGAGACAGAAAGCAUGGCACUUUUUAUAUUCAGAAGACCUGAGGCAAAAGCCUAUCCUGGCGCUCACCAUCUAUGUCUUCUUGGGUAAGUAACCUAAUAUUUGGGCCACAAUUUCCUCAUUUGUAAAUGAAGGAAGUUGGGUAAGAUAAUCUUUAUUUCACUUUAAGCCCUAAAAGUAUGAUCUCAAGACUUCAUUCACUGCAAUAAAUAGUUUUUAAACUCCUGCA